rnacentral:lncRNA from 12 species
GAAUUUAUGUGGGUUGUUGGCACACACUCCAGUGGUUGGUGGGACAACAGGUCAUGGCCAGGAAAAUCCAUGGCUACUCAUGAGCUAGAGUAACUUCUGGGGAGCAGUGAAAUGAGCCCGCUGAAGGUGGUGGCAUUGUCCAGCCAGCCAUGCAAGCACAGCACAGAUUAUUCCCAGGCCUUGGCUACCACCUGUGCUUGAGGCAUGGAGAACUUCACCUCCAAGAACUUGCACCCACAAGCAACAUCCUCUGGAAGCUACAUGUUAGAGCUGGUCCCACAGAGCUUGUUAUGAGGCAAAAGCUCUGGACAGAGCUUGUAGUGCCACAUGCCACUGCAGUGGGAUUGCUGCUCAUGGAGAACCAAACUAGACUCUACCUGGAAAGGUGUUGGCGUGUUGGCUGAGCUACGCUGGACUGGUGGUAAGAAAAGCUGGUUCUGAUUAAAGAACUGUGAGUUACUGUGAGAUAUCCC